rnacentral:rRNA from 1 species
UACGAAGGGGGCUAGCGUUGCUCGGAAUCACUGGGCGUAAAGCGCACGUAGGCGGCUUUCUAAGUCAGGGGUGAAAUCCUGGAGCUCAACUCCAGAACUGCCUUUGAUACUGGAGAGCUUGAGUCCGGAAGAGGUGAGUGGAACUCCGAGUGUAGAGGUGAAAUUCGUAGAUAUUCGGAAGAACACCAGUGGCGAAGGCGGCUCACUGGUCCGGUACUGGACGCUGAUGUGCGAAAGCGUGGGGAGCAACGGG